rnacentral:rRNA from 1 species
GAUGAACGCUGGCGGCGUGCUUAACACAUGCAAGUCGAACGGGGAUGCAUUUGGAAGGAGUGCUUGCAUUCUGGAAAGAUGUAUCCUAGUGGCGGACGGGUGAGUAACGCGUGGGCAACCUGCCCCAUACCGGGGGAUACCACCUGGAAACAGGUGCUAAUACCGCAUAAGCGCACGAAGGCGCAUGCCUUAGUGUGAAAAACUCCGGUGGUAUGGGAUGGACCCGCGUCUGAUUAGCCAGUUGGCAGGGUAACGGCCUACCAAAGCGACGAUCAGUAGCCGGCCUGAGAGGGUGGACGGCCACAUUGGGACUGAGACACGGCCCAA